GACGAACGCUGGCGGCGUGCUUAACACAUGCAAGUCGAACGGAAAGGCCCUGCUUUUGUGGGGUGCUCGAGUGGCGAACGGGUGAGUAACACGUGAGUAACCUGCCCUUGACUUUGGGAUAACUUCAGGAAACUGGGGCUAAUACCGGAUAGGAGCUCCUGCUGCAUGGCGGGGGUUGGAAAGUUUCGGCGGUUGGGGAUGGACUCGCGGCUUAUCAGCUUGUUGGUGGGGUAGUGGCUUACCAAGGCUUUGACGGGUAGCCGGCCUGAGAGGGUGACCGGCCACAUUGGGACUGAGAUACGGCCCAGACUCCUACGGGAGGCAGCAGUGGGGAAUAUUGCACGAUGGGCGGAAGCCUGAUGCAGCAACGCCGCGUGCGGGAUGACGGCCUUCGGGUUGUAAACCGCUUUCGCCUGUGACGAAGCGUGAGUGACGGUAAUGGGUAAAGAAGCACCGGCUAACUACGUG
rnacentral:rRNA from 1 species